rnacentral:rRNA from 1 species
AUUGAACGCUGGCGGAAUGCUUUACACAUGCAAGUCGAGCGGCAGCGCGGGGCAACCUGGCGGCGAGCGGCGAACGGGUGAGUAAUACAUCGGAACGUGCCCAGACGUGGGGGAUAACUACUCGAAAGAGUGGCUAAUACCGCAUACGAUCUAAGGAUGAAAGCGGGGGAUCGCAAGACCUCGCGCGUUUGGAGCGGCCGAUGGCAGAUUAGGUAGUUGGUGGGGGUAAAGGCUUACCAAGCCCGCGAUCUGUAGCUGGUCUGAGAGGAUGAUCAGCCACACUGGGACUGAGACACGGCCCAGACUCCUACGGGAGGCAGCAGUGGGGAAUUUUGGACAAUGGGCGAAAGCCUGAUCCAGCCAUUCCGCGUGCAGGAUGAAGGCCCUCGGGUUGUAAACUGCUUUGUACAGAACGAAAAGACUCUUUCUAAUACAGAGAGUCCAUGACGGUACUGUAAGAAUAAGACACCGG